GGACCCGCACAAGCGGUGGAGCAUGUGGUUUAAUUCGAAGCAACGCGAAGAACCUUACCAGGUCUUGACAUCCCUACCGAUAUCGGGUAAUGCCGAUAGCCCUUCGGGGGGUAGGAGACAGGUGGUGCAUGGUUGUCGUCAGCUCGUGUCGUGAGAUGUUGGGUUAAGUCCCGCAACGAGCGCAACCCUUGCGCAUAGUAGCCAGCGCGUGAUGGCGGGCACUCUAUGGGGACUGCCGAGGAUAACUCGGAGGAAGGCGGGGACGACGUCAAAUCAUCAUGCCCCUUACGAUCUGGGCUACACACGUGCUACAAUGGCGCAUACAGAGGGAAGCGAGACUGUGAAGUUAAGCGGACCCCAAAAAAGGCGUCUCAGUUCGGACCGUGGUCUGCAACUCGACCACGCGAAGCCGGAAUCGCUAGUAAUCGCGGAUCAGCAUGCCG
rnacentral:rRNA from 1 species